AAAUGCGAUAAGUAGUGUGAAUUGCAGAAUUCAGUGAAUCAUCGAAUCUUUGAACGCACAUUGCGCCCCUUGGUAUUCCAUGGGGCAUGCCUGUUCGAGCGUCAUUUGUACCCUCAAGCUCUGCUUGGUGUUGGGUGUUUGUCCCCGUCUCCGCGCGUGGACUCGCCCCAAAGUGAUAGGCAGCCGGCGUACUGGUCCCGGAGCGCAGCACAUGUCGCGCAAACGAGUGCCUUGGUACGGCGGCGUCCAUAAGCCCCUCUCUCACGCUCUUGACCUCGGAUCAGGUAGGGAUACCCGCUGAACUUAAGC
rnacentral:misc_RNA from 1 species